GUGAGGAAUUUUCCGCAAUGGGCGAAAGCCUGACGGAGCAAUGCCGCGUGAAGGAUGAAGGCCUAUGGGUUGUAAACUUCUUUUCUUAGAGAAGAAUAUUGACGGUAUCUGAGGAAUAAGCAUCGGCUAACUCUGUGCCAGCAGCCGCGGUAAUACGAGGGGUCCUAGCGUUGUUCGGAAUCAUUGGGCGUAAAGGGUGUGUAGGUGGCCAUGUAAGUCAGGUGUGAAAGCCCCGGGCUCAACCCGGGAAGUGCACUUGAUACUGCGUGGCUUGAGUACCGAAGAGGGUAGUGGAAUUCCAGGUGUAGUGGUGAAAUACGUAGAUAUCUGGAGGAACACCGGUGGCGAAGGCGGCUACCUGGUCGAGUACUGACACUGAGAGACGAAAGCGAGGGGAGCAAAAGGGAUUAGAUACCCCAGUAGUCC
rnacentral:rRNA from 1 species